AAGAGCAACGAGAAAAAAUCAAGUGUCAUAUCAAUAGGAAAAGCAAGCAGCACAUAAAAAGAAAAUUUCAGCUCCAAUUGUAAUACGAAUUUCUUGCCCAACAAUUAAUUAAAAGUAUUAAAAUUGAGAGAAAUUUAUAAGUGUAAAUUGGAGCUAUAUAUUUAGCUAAAAAAGUCAUUAUUAUAUAUAAGCGCUUUUUAUUAAAAUAACUCGGAGGGUAAGCACGUUCCAGCAGAGCCGUAUUGAAAAAGUUUCGCUUUUUACCGACGACGAAGUUCGAGUCGUCGACGUCCCUCCCAGAAAAAAAGUAAUAUCUACGUAAAAGGAGGAAGUCUUUAAAAGCCAAAGGGUUGGUUUUCAAUUGAAUUUGCCAAGAUAACUUGGUUUAAAUUUUAGUUGAAACUAACCAAAAUAGCGGCAUAUUGUUAACCCAACGGAGCAUUGGGGAACCUAAAAAUUUGUAGACGUCUGUUGCAGCGGCUCAACGAAGACGAAGAGGAAAAAAAUUGGGCGAAAACUUUGCAUUGAUGGUAAUGCAUGCUAGAAAACCGCAACGUGUGAACGAUGGCUACUUUGAGAAGCAUCAGUCGCAUUCGUAUCAGAGUUCCAAGUACAGUUCAAAGCGCGAUUAUGAACGCGAUCGCUCGUCAAACUAUCGCGAUCGCGAUCUGUCGCCAGCUGGCGGUGGUCCAUUGAAUAAUGUUUCACAAAGAUUAUCGCAAACUGCUAUGAAUAAUGGUAACAGCGCAUCGUAUCGCUCACAAUCACCUGAAGUAGAUUCACCAUCGUCAAGAGGGCACGGUACGCACGAUAUACGCGAUCGUGAUCAUCGUGGUAGCGAUCGUUUCAGUUAUAUGCAAAAAAUGAGGGAUCGUGAUCGCGAUGUCUAUAAAAAGGAUAAAUAUUCUACAGAUAAACGCGAUAGACGUGGCGGUGGCAGUGGUGGCGGUGGUGGUGGUAAUGAUCGUGAUUCAGAAUCGCAUCGCACCAAUCACGAUAGGUUGGAUCGCCGUGGCGGCGGCAGCGGUAGUGGAAGUGGAGCCAAGCUUUGUUCUUCCAGUGGCGGCGACAAGCGUUCCGGCUCGACAGAUCGUGACCGAGAUCGCGAUCGUGAUCGUGGCGAUUUGAGAGAUAGUAAACGUGAACGCGGUUCCGAACGAGAUCGUGAUAGAGAACGUGACCGUGAUAGGGAUCGUGAUAGAGAUCGCAGUGAUCGCGGUGGUGGCGGCGGCGAUCGUGAACGCGAUCGUGGUGGUGGUGGUGGCGGCAGUGGCGGCGGUGAACGCAGUGAUCGGGGCGAACGAGUGGCACGAUGUGGCGAUUGGAGUGAACAUGUCAGUUCAUCUGGAAAAAUGUAUUAUUACAACUGCAAAACUGAAAUCUCACAAUGGGAGAAACCAAAGGAAUGGAUUGAACGAGAACGAACACUGGCACGCGAUCAACAUAGGGAAAAAGAUUAUCGGGAUAAAGAUCGCGAUAGAGAUCGUGAGGAUCGUUUUUGCAGAUCAGCUUACGCGAAACAUUCCAGUUCUCGAGGAAACUCACGGCUGAGGUGGAAUUAUGAAAACGAUGGCGGACCGCCAACACAUCGAAGGCGUUUGGAUGGUCGCAUUGCUGAAAAUCCCGAUAUGGACAUAAGUCCCGGUGACUCCACGCCAACUUCGGAGGCUAGCUAUCCGCUGACCGGCGCGCCCACAGUACAUGGUAUGGUGAAUGUGCAACACAAUGACCUAUCAUCGAUUCCAACAUCAACCGUUGGCCUGCCGAAUGCAUUACCGCGUUUAGCAUCGCAUCCUAACGCCAGCACUGUUAUGUCAUCCUCCUCCUCCGCAUCCGCUUCUGCUGCAGCGGCCAAUGCAGCAGCCGCUUCAAUGCAUUUCUCCGCGUCAUCCGCGUCAGCGCAUGGUUCGGGCGUUGUUGUAGGCGGUGCAACAAUGUUGCCCGCCACUGGACUCGGCUCGGUGUCAUCGAGUGCUGGUGUGCCAGUGAUGGUUGCCGGUGUACUGCAGACACAGAAUAAUAGUAAUCAUCGAAAGAUGGAUCCAGUGGCUAUGCUGCAACAGCAAGCGCAUUUAGCGUCAACAACAUCGCCAAAUGUGGAUCAUCAUUUGAACUCGAAUGCACCCGGACCGCCGAAAUUGGGUACAAAAGAGCAACAAGAAAUGAUGAUGAGCUCGCAACAGAAGGCAGCAUUAUUAAUGCGACAGCAGCAACAACAAGCGGCGUUACAUCAUCAUCACCAACUUUCACAACAUGGUGGCAACGAGGCGGUACAUAUGAUGUCCAAUGCCGGCACUUCCAUAGAUGUUACCAAUCAUGCGGCCUCAUCAGCGGUGAUAGUGCUAAGAGAUAAUUCGGUGAAUUCACCACACUACAAUUUAGCCCAUGGCAUGUCGCCGAUGGGUUACAAUACAAAAAGUCCUAUCACAGGUGUUGUUGGCAGCGGCGGUGUUGUUCCUGUUACCGGUCAUAGCAACAAUGUGGGCGGUGGUGGCGUUAAUAUGAGCUCGGGCGUGAAUGCCGGCUCCUAUGCCGCUUGUAACGCACCGUACGGUUUAAAGACUGUCGAGGGUAGCAGUGGCGGUGUCAUGAAUUCAAUUGGCAACAGCAACAGUAGCGUACACUGUCCCUCAUCUAGUUUAGCGAAUGUCAGUGGUAAUGCUGGCGGUAGUGGGGUCAUAGGUAUGUUGCCUGGCGAAGGACCACCGACGCCAACGCAAGAAAUGGACCUUAAUGUAGCGGCAAUGGAACAGCAACAGCGUAAAAUGGAAAACACUUCAUCCGCCUCGUUGAGCACACUGCAAAGUUGUGUUGCGUCGUCUGUACAAGCCGGCCGUUCACAGGGUCCAGAGAUUUCGCCGAAAUUAGCAAAGUAUUUUAGAGCUGAUUUAAUAACACAUGUCACCAAUUGGCAGGCGGAUAUUUUGGAGAAACAGGUAAUGCAAGAGGCGCAAAAGUGUUCCGAAGAAACGCAUUUGUAUGGAGAUUUGCAGUGUACGAAAGUGUCGGCAGAGUUAAAAUGUGCUAGAAGCUUAGUUAGAAUAACUGAAAUCACAGCAACUCUACAAGAACAAAAUGUGUUGUUUUAUAAAAUUGUGCUCAACGGCGUAACAUCUCUGUAUUGUGGUUGAUGUAAACGGGCGUAGUGGGAAAUAUCUUACCGAAAGCGAGGAGUUGUACGGGAAUAACAGGAUUAGCUUGUUUGUUGCAACAAACUGCGCAGCACUUACCUUACUUCUCAGUACGCUAUAUUAUGGAUUGACUUACUAGGGACCAUACCAAUUGUAGGUAUUAAUUGGGCAGACAGUCAAGAAAGUACACUUUUGAAUCAGAUAAAUGAGGAUUCAGUGGCAGUUUUGUAAAGGCGAGCAGCAGUCUUGCGCUCUUUCUACUACUAUUUUCAACAGUUACUGCAUAUUUCGCUUUGAUGAAGGCUGUGUAAUAAGUCCUUUGAACAGCCACAAGACGUUAUUAUAGAAGAUGAACCUGUGUUUCCUCAGUUUAAACCCAAAUAAGCAGACACAAAUGUAUGAAGACGGUAUGAAUAGGUUAGGUUAAAGCUGCAAAGGAGAAUUGUCAUUAAAAUAACCUUUUUUGAGCACAGUUACGUGCGAGUUGCGCUAUAUAAUGUCACUUUAAGUUACUCUUACUCUUAUUACAUUCCAUCAAUGUAUUUGUAUAUUAGUGGCUGUAAAAUUGUCUAGCCAAUAGCUAUAUCAAGCUUAGAAGCGGCUGUAUGGCUUGUAGAAGUUGUAUUUGUUGAAUUGAAAUCUUUAUUUUUUAUAAUUUUUCGUUUUUAUUUCUAUUGUAUUAACCAUAUGCAUCUCUCUAUUGCAGAAUUAUGUAUCUUCGCCAACAAAUUCGUCGAAUAGAAGAAUCAAAAUCACAAAACUCAUUUAUGUCUGAUGAUCUUUAGCCAA